UACGUAGGGCGCGAGCGUUGUCCGGAUUUACUGGGCGUAAAGGGCUCGUAGGCGGUUUGUCGCGUCGGUCGUGGAAAUGCGCAGCCUAACUGGGCACGUGCGGUGGAUACGGGCAGACUCGAGGGCAGUAGAGGCAAGCGGAAUUCCUGGUGUAGCGGUGAAAUGCGCAGAUAUCAGGAGGAACACCGGUGGCGAAGGCAGCUUGCUGGGCCGUUCCUGACGCUGAGGUGCGAAAGCGUGGGUAGCGAACAGG
rnacentral:misc_RNA from 1 species